rnacentral:rRNA from 1 species
UACAGAGGUCUCAAGCGUUGUUCGGAUUCAUUGGGCGUAAAGGGUGCGUAGGCGGCGCGGUAAGUCGGGUGUGAAAUCUCGGGGCUUAACUCCGAAACUGCAUUCGAUACUGCCGUGGCUUGAGGACUGGAGAGGAGACUGGAAUUUACGGUGUAGCGGUGAAAUGCGUAGAUAUCGUAAGGAAGACCAGUGGCGAAGGCGGGUCUCUGGACAGUUCCUGACGCUGAGGCACGAAGGCCAGGGGAGCAAACGGG